rnacentral:rRNA from 1 species
ACGCUGGCGGCGUGCUUAACACAUGCAAGUCGAACGAUGAACCCCAGCUUGCUGGGGGGAUUAGUGGCGAACGGGUGAGUAACACGUGAGUAACCUGCCCUUAACUCUGGGAUAAGCCUGGGAAACUGGGUCUAAUACUGGAUAUUGACUUUACCUCGCAUGGGGUUUGGUUGAAAGAUUUAUUGGUUUUGGAUGGACUCGCGGCCUAUCAGCUUGUUGGUGAGGUAAUGGCUCACCAAGGCGACGACGGGUAGCCGGCCUGAGAGGGUGACCGGCCACACUGGGACUGAGACACGGCCCAGACUCCUACGGGAGGCGGCAGUGGGGAAUAUUGCACAAUGGGCGAAAGCCUGAUGCAGCGACGCCGCGUGAGGGAUGACGGCCUUCGGGUUGUAAACCUCUUUCAGUAGGGAACAAGGCCAAUGUUUAGUUGGUUGAGGGUACUUGCAGAAGAAGCACCGGCUAACUACGUGCCAGCAGCCGCGGUAAUACGUAGGGUGCAAGCGUUAUCCGGAAUUAUUGGGCGUAAAGAGCUCGUAGGCGGUUUGUCGCGUCUGCCGUGAAAGUCCGGGGCUCAACCCCGGAUCUGCGGUGGGUACGGGCAGACUAGAGUGAUGUAGGGGGGACUGGAAUUCCUGGUGUAGCGGUGAAAUGCGCAGAUAUCAGGAGGAACACCGAUGGCGAAGGCAGGUCUCUGGGCAUUAACUGACGCUGAGGAGCGAAAGCAUGGGGAGCGAAC